GACCGGGUGCUCGAGGGGCUAGAGGUUGGUCUGCAAAACCAAUUACAUGGGUCCGAAUCCCAUCCCGGUCU
rnacentral:tRNA from 1 species